UGGGUUGGCUCAGUGGUUAGAGCGUAGUUCUCGUAACCGAAAAAUCGCGGGAUCGAAUCCCGCUAG
rnacentral:tRNA from 1 species